rnacentral:rRNA from 1 species
GGAGGCGAACCGGGGGAACUGAAACAUCUCAGUACCCCGAGGAAAAUAAAUCAACCGAGAUUCCCCCAGUAGCGGCGAGCAGACGGGGAGCAGCCCAGAGUCAGCAUCAAUAUUUACCGCAGGAGAAGGGUCUAGAAAAACCGGCAAUAAAGGGUGAUAGCCCCGUAUCUGAAGCGGUAAGUGUUGUGAACUCGAAGAGUAGGGCAGGACACGUGUUAUCCUGUCUGAAUAUGGGGGACCAUCCUCCAAGGCUAAAUACUCCUGACUGACCAAUAGUGAACCAGUACCGCGAGGGAAAGGCGAAAAGAACCCCGGCAAGGGGAGUGAAAUAGAACCUGAAACCGUGUACGUACAAGCAGUGGGAGCACCCGAAAGAGUGUGACUGCGUACCUUUUGUAUAAAAGGUCAGCGACUUAUAUUUUGUAGCAAGGUUAACCGCAUAAGGGAGCCGUAGGGAAACCGAGUCUUAACUGGGCGUUAAGUUGUAGGGUAUAGACCCGGAACCCGAUGAUCUAGCCAUGGGUAGGUUGAAG